ensembl:snRNA U2 U2 spliceosomal RNA
AUACAAAUAUUAUCUCCUAAGCUAAUAUCUGUUCUAAUCAGUGUGAUAUCUGAUCUGUUCUCCAUUGGAGAGCUCUGUGUUCAAUGGGUUUUUUGAGAAAGGGAGUUGGAGUAGGGGCUUUCUCUGCCCAUUCCACAGAUCAGCCUGGUAUUGUAGCGCUUCCAGGAGCUUAGCCCAAACCAC